ACCUCAAGUCAAGUAAGAGUACCCGCUGAACUUAAGCAUAUCAAUAAGCGGAGGAAAAGAAACUAACAAGGAUUUCCUUAGUAACGGCGAGUGAAGUGGGAAAAGCUCAAAUUUUAAAUCACCAAGGUUUCUUUUGGUGAAUUGUAAUUUGAAGAAAAGUCGUUUUGAUAUUCGGGUUUUAUCCAAGUCCUUUGGGAUAAGGUAUCAUAGAGGGUGAGAAUCCCGUUCAUGAUUAAACCUUGAUGUCACUUAAUUCACUUUCUAAGAGUCGAGUUGUUUGGGAUUGCAGCUCAAAAUGGGUGGUAAAUUUCACCUAAGGCUAAAUAUAUGCAAGAGACCGAUAGCGAACAAGUACCGUGAGGGAAAGAUGAAAAGAACUUUGAAAAGAGAGUUAAAUAGUACGUGAAAUUGUUGAAAGGGAAACGAUUGAAGUCAGUCAUGCUAGUAGGGAAUCAACUUGAUGGAUCGUAGGACUUAUCUUAUGAUCUUUCUUGUGCACUUUCUUGCUUGGCAGGUUAGCAUCAAUUUCGGGUAUCAUUAAAAAAUCGAGGGAAUGUAGCUUUCUUUCGGGAAAGUGUUAUAGACCUUGAUAAAAUGUGGUGACCGAGAUUGAGGAUUGCAGCGGAUACCUCUUAAGGCUAGUCACCUUGCUUCUGACGGUUACCCUGCUUUCGAGAGCUCGCUCACGAUUGUGGGAUUCAACAGUCUAGAUGUUAGAGUGAUCUUAAAUUCGCUAAGGAUGCUGACGUAAUGGCUUUAAACGACCCGUCUUGAAACACGGACCAAGGAGUCUAACAUGUGUGCGAGUGUUU
rnacentral:rRNA from 1 species